rnacentral:rRNA from 1 species
UGCCCUUUGUACACACCGCCCGUCGCUACUACCGAUUGAAUGGCUCAGUGAGGCCUUCGGACUGGCUCAGGGAGGUCGGCAACGACCACCCAGAGCCGGAAAGUUGGUCAAACUCGGUCAUUUAGAGGAAGUAAAAGUCGUAACAAGGUCUCCGUAGGUGAACCUGCGGAGGGAUCAUUA